UUCAUUCUCUUCUACCUUCCUCUCACGUUCUCGUUUCUAAUUCUCUGCUCGUCUCUCGUUCUCUUCCCUCCAUUCUACUACCAUCACCAUCGUUAUCAUCAACGUCAUAAACCCCCAAAUCAUUUCCCCCUUUUUCUUUCGAAACCCUAGAAAUAUUUUUCUGUCUAAAGAGCCCCCAAUCCCAAAACCUAAUGGUCGAAACUAGGGAAGAGAUGGGGUUCUAGGUCUGCUGUAAAGAGAUGGGGUCCAUUAUCCCAACGGAUUUCAAGAAAUUGGAUCAGAAAAGAAAAGAUAAGAAGAGAAAAGAUGAAGAACAUAUCCGAUAAAUCAGUGAUAUCAUAUUGGUGGCUGAUUUAUUCAAUUUCGUUAAUCAGUUCUCAUAGAUUUUUUCUUGCUAAUAACUCAAUAUGGGCAAGGAGAAGGUUCACAUCAACAUUAUUGUCAUUGGACGUGUCGAUUCUGGUAAAUUGACCACCACUGGUCACUUGAUCUACAAUCUUGGAGGUAUUGACAAGCGUGUGAUCGAGAGGUUCUAGAAAGAAGCUGCUGAGAUGAACAAGAGGUCAUUCAAGUACGCAUGGGUUCUUGACAAGCUUAAGGAUGAACGUGAGCGAGGUAUUUCCAUUGAUAUUGCCUUGUGGAAGUUUGAGACCACCAAGUACUACUGCUCAUGGACAUCGUGACUUUAUUAAGAACACGAUCACUAGUACCUCUCAGGCCGACUGUGCGUCCUAAUUGACUCCACCACUGGAGGUUUUGAGUCUGGUAUCUCCAAGGAUGGCCAGACUCCUGAGCACGCCCUUCUUGCUUUCACACUUGGUGUUCAGCAGAUGAUCUACUGCUGUAACAAGGUAUAACUAGUUUAAAAUACCAUCUUGUUUAUAUAAGCUAGUUUGCAAAUAUCUUUAUCUGCAUUUUUGUAUGAUACCAACUAAUAGUAUUUUCAUUUUGUAAUAACUUUCUGGAUGCCACCACGCCCAAGUACUCGAAGGAUAGAUUCGAUGAAAUUGUGAAGGAGGUGUCAUCGUACUUGAAGAUGGUUGGGUACAACCCAUACAAAAUUGCCUUGUUCCUGUCUCUGGAUUGAGGGAGACAACAUGAUUGGGUCUCUAUGCAAUUCGUGAUUCCAGUUAACCGUUGAGAUCAUAAUGGCGUUGUUAUUAUCGUUGCAUUCAUCCCUGAUGGCACACAAUGGUGAUACUUCAGUGCAUUUAUGGGAUCUCAGAACUCAGAUCCCAUAAUUUCACAUCUUUAAAACUCUUGCAAGAAACAAGGACACUCUGUGAACUCUCUUGCAUUGAGCACGUGCUGCAAACAAGGUUCAUACUGGAAAGCAGUAUUCAACAUCUGAGGAAAUGAAAGAUGAACCAUGGUGGUUUGAGGCAUUAUUGGGGUCUCAGAGUCCAUGGACAGCUCACCAAGACUGCUGGAUUUUCAAGGUUGUUGGUUCCAAAUGUUGGCCCUUGAUUUCAAGGUACAGGGAAAGUGCUAGUGAGGAACCUCAUAUUUGUGUCGCCCAUUUGCACGGCUCAACAACAAGAAACAAGCACUUUCGUGUUUGCCAUGAAUACAUGGCGGAGCAAGGGAAUGAAUAACUCCAGUCCAUACGCCACCACUGCACCACCAGUCCUUCAUUCCACUACCACCUGUUGUUGCUUUGGUUUGCUAAUUUGGCUUCAAAUUGUGAAUUCAUGAUCAGAUGGUUAUGUUGGAAGGAGCAAAAGCUAUAAUAGAGACUGUUGAUGCGUUAAGAAGUGGAUCUGCUGCAAUGAAGGCUAUCCAAAGAACAACAUUUUGAGCUUCUUCACUGAAGGUGGCAUGCGACAUCUAGCACAUUACUCUUGCUGGUUCCAGUAUAAAUGCCUCACAACCCAUGGUGAAAACUUAAACUUCAACCUUUGGGCAUGCCUCAUGCAGCAGAAAUGUUCACCUAGGUAGCUGGUUUCCGUAGUUCCAACGAAUGCGAGAGUUAUUUUUUCUUUAAAUCGUUAUGCAAGAACCUUGAUGUGAUACUGAAUUAAUAGAUUUAUCCACGUGACAAUCCUUCAUAUGAUUUUUGUUAUGUGAUUGCUUUGUGUAUGAGUUCAUCAUGGUGAAUUAGUUCUAAGAACACUUUCUUGAUACUUUA